rnacentral:rRNA from 1 species
GUACCGUUCAAAUAGGGCGGUACCUUGACGGUACCUAACCAGAAAGCCACGGCUAACUACGUGCCACCCAGCCGCGGUAAUACGUAGGUGGCAAGCGUUGUCCGGAAUUAUUGGGCGUAAAGGGCUCGCAGGCGGUUUCUUAAGUCUGAUGUGAAAGCCCCCGGCUCAACCGGGGAGGGUCAUUGGAAACUGGGGAACUUGAGUGCAGAAGAGGAGAGUGGAAUUCCACGUGUAGCGGUGAAAUGCGUAGAGAUGUGGAGGAACACCAGUGGCGAAGGCGACUCUCUGGUCUGUAACUGACGCUGAGGAGCGAAAGCGUGGGGAGCGAACAGGAUUAGAUACCCUGGUAGUCCACGCCGUAAACGAUGAGUGCUAAGUGUUAGGGGGUUUCCGCCCCUUAGUGCUGCAGCUAACGCAUUAAGCACUCCGCCUGGGGAGUACGGUCGCAAGACUGAAACUCAAAGGAAUUGACGG